GGACAGACCCUGGGCUAGCAGGCCCCAGGGAGAACUCCAAUGGUGUCUGUGUCAGCACGCCCACACCAGGCCACAACAAUGGCCGCCGGCAAUGUCCCAGUUCCUGGAGAGGUCUCACCUCUCACUAAGAUGCACUCAGAGCCUAUCAGAAUUUGGUUGAUCUUGCAGGCUGGGAAAGAGCUGAAAAAACAGGUGCUGAAGGUGUGAAACUCAAGGAAGGCUGUAAUAUAAAUCGUAGCUUAUUUGUUUUGCGACAAGUGAUCAAGAAACUUAGUGAUGGACAAGAUGGCAAAUUAACACGAAUUCUCCAGAAUUCCUUGGGAGGAAAUGCAAAAACAUGUAUUAUCUGCAC